AAUUUAAGAGUAUAUGGUGGAUGCCUAGACUAAAAAAGGCGAUGAAAGACGUAGCAUGGCGACGAUAUGCUUCGGGGAGGUGCCUAGCAACCUUCGAUCCGGAGAUUUCUGAAUGGGGAAACCCUUCCGAGCAAACCUCGGAAACUUCUACACUAGAUGUAGUUGUGCAUACCCAGGGAAGUAAAACAUUUCAGUACCUGGUGGAAAAGAAAACGAAGUUUAUUUCCUUAGUAGCGGCGAGCGAAGAGGAAAGAGCCCAAACCGAGUGUCGCAAGACACGAGGGGUUGUAAGAUGGUAAUGUAGAUUUAUCUAGAAGAGUUACAAAAUUUGUUAUUAGAUUAAGUUUCUGGAAAGAAACACCACAGAAGGUGAUAGUCCUGUGAUCGAAAAUAACAGAUCUCUUUGAUUACUAUUCUUGAGUAGCUCAGGACAUGAAUAGCUUGAGCGAAUCCGGGAGAACUAACUCCCAAGGCUAAAUACUUUUUUAGAUCGAUAGUGAACUAGUACCGUGAGGGAAAGGUGAAAAGUACCCCGCUACGGGGAGUGAAAUAGUACCUGAAACCAUGUGCUUACAAGGAGACGGAGCCC
rnacentral:rRNA from 1 species